rnacentral:lncRNA from 1 species
CAGGUAACAAAUAUAUACAAAAUAGAAUUCAAAUUUCAAAGAUUGUUUGUUACAACAUAACAAGGGUACAAAGCAAACAGACAAUGACACUUUAGAAAACGAAGAAGAAGACGAGGAAGGAUGGGACAAAGAAAUAAAAAAACGGAUCCUAAAUUGGCACAAUUGCCUCAUGUAAAAAUAAACCGUCUGCCGUCAUCUAUUGCUCACCAGGAAAAAAGAACAGAAACAGGAAGAAGAGAAGGAAGAGGAGCAGGAAGAGGAACAGGAAGAGGAUCAGGAAGAGGAUCAGUAUCAGGUUCAGGAACAGGUUUAGGAACAGGAACAUGUACAGGAAGAGGAAGAGGGAGAGGGAGAGGGAGAGGAACAGGAACAGGAACAGGAACAGGAACAGGAAAAGGAAGAGGAACAGGAACAGGAACAGAAACAGAAACGGGAACAAGACGAGUAGGAAGACCAUGAAAAGAAGAAAAACGUUUGUUGAAGCAGUAAAAUUAACAUUGUGCGUACUUUUUGUGUAUGUUUAAAAAUAACUGGCAGUAACCUAGUCCUUAUUUUGAUAUUAAUCCGGUCAGGCAAGAGGAAUACAACGAAUUCAGAAGCAGAA